UGAGUGCUUGAUUAUAGGCAAGAGCAAAGAGGACUGUGAAAAUUACAUCACGACACUGCACACUCUGAAUGACAGCAGAAUCUUCACGUGUGGAACCCGGGCAUUCAAACCUCUGUGCACACACCUGUUGUUCAAAGGAGGAAAAGUCAGCAUGGAAACCACAACUUCAGAGGGCAGGGG